rnacentral:rRNA from 1 species
GACGAACGCUGGCGGCGUGCUUAACACAUGCAAGUCGAACGGAAAGGCCCUGCUUUUGUGGGGUGCUCGAGUGGCGAACGGGUGAGUAACACGUGAGUAACCUGCCCUUGACUUUGGGAUAACUUCAGGAAACUGGGGCUAAUACCGGAUAGGAGCUCCUGCUGCAUGGUGGGGGUUGGAAAGUUUCGGCGGUUGGGGAUGGACUCGCGGCUUAUCAGCUUGUUGGUGGGGUAGUGGCUUACCAAGGCUUUGACGGGUAGCCGGCCUGAGAGGGUGACCGGCCACAUUGGGACUGAGAUACGGCCCAGACUCCUACGGGAGGCAGCAGUGGGGAAUAUUGCACAAUGGGCGGAAGCCUGAUGCAGCAACGCCGCGUGCGGGAUGACGGCCUUCGGGUUGUAAACCGCUUUCGCCUGUGACGAAGCGUGAGUGACGGUAAUGGGUAAAGAAGCACCGGCUAACUACGUGCCAGCAGCCGCGGUGAUACGUAGGGUGCGAGCGUUGUCCGGAUUUAUUGGGCGUAAAGGGCUCGUAGGUGGUUGAUCGCGUCGGAAGUGUAAUCUUGGGGCUUAACCCUGAGCGUGCUUUCGAUACGGGUUGACUUGAGGAAGGUAGGGGAGAAUGGAAUUCCUGGUGGAGCGGUGGAAUGCGCAGAUAUCAGGAGGAACACCAGUGGCGAAGGCGGUUCUCUGGGCCUUUCCUGACGCUGAGGAGCGAAAGCGUGGGGAGCGAACAGGCUUAGAUACCCUGGUAGUCCACGCUGUAAACGGUGGGUACUAGGUGUGGGGUCCAUUCCACGGGUUCCGUGCCGUAGCUAACGCUUUAAGUACCUCGCCUGGGGAGUACGGCCGCAAGGCUAAAACUCAAAGGAAUUGACGGGGCCCCGCACAAGCGGCGGAGCGUGCGGAUUAAUUCGAUGCAACGCGUAGAACCUUACCUGGGUUUGACAUGGAUCGGGAGUGCUCAGAGAUGGGUGUGCCUCUUUUGGGGUCGGUUCACAGGUGGUGCAUGCCUGUCGUCAGCUCGUGUCGUGAGACGUUGGGUUAAGUCCCGCAACGAGCGCAACCCUUGUUCACUGUUGCCAGCACGUUAUGGUGGGGACUCAGUGGAGACCGCCGGGGUCAACUCGGAGGAAGGUGGGGAUGACGUCAAGUCCUCAUGCCCCUUAUGUCCAGGGCUUCACGCAUGCUACAAUGGCUGGUACAGAGAGUGGCGAGCCUGUGAGGGUGAGCGAAUCUCGGAAAGCCGGUCUCAGUUCGGAUCGGGGUCUGCAACACGACCUCAUGAAGUCGGAGUCGCUAGUAAUCGCAGAUCAGCAACGCUGCGGUGAAUACGUUCCCGGG